GACGAACGCUGGCGGCGUGCUUAACACAUGCAAGUCGAGCGGUAAGGCCCUUUCGGGGGUACACGAGCGGCGAACGGGUGAGUAACACGUGGGUGACCUGCCCUCAGCUCUGGGAUAAGCCUGGGAAACUGGGUCUAAUACUGGAUAUGACUCCACGGUGCAUGUCGUGGGGUGGAAAGCCUUGUGCGGCUGAGGAUGGGCCCGCGGCCUAUCAGCUUGUUGGUGGGGUGANGGCCUACCAAGGCGACGACGGGUAGCCGGCCUGAGAGGGCGACCGGCCACACUGGGACUGAGACACGGCCCAGACUCCUACGGGAGGCAGCAGUCGGGAAUUUUGGGCAAUGGGCGAAAGCCUGACCCAGCAACGCCGCGUGAAGGAUGAAAUCCCUCGGGAUGUAAACUUCG
rnacentral:rRNA from 1 species